GAUGAACGCUGGCGGCGUGCCUAAUACAUGCAAGUCGAGCGAACAGACGAGGAGCUUGCUCCUCUGACGUUAGCGGCGGACGGGUGAGUAACACGUGGAUAACCUACCUAUAAGACUGGGAUAACUUCGGGAAACCGGAGCUAAUACCGGAUAAUAUAUUGAACCGCAUGGUUCAAUAGUGAAAGUCGGUUUUGCUGUCACUUAUAGAUGGAUCCGCGCCGCAUUAGCUAGUUGGUAAGGUAACGGCUUACCAAGGCAACGAUGCGUAGCCGACCUGAGAGGGUGAUCGGCCACACUGGAACUGAGACACGGUCCAGACUCCUACGGGAGGCAGCAGUAGGGAAUCUUCCGCAAAGGGCGAAAGCCUGACGGAGCAACGCCGCGUGAGUGAUGAAGGUCUUCGGAUCGUAAAACUCUGUUAGUAGGGAAGAACAAAUGUGUAAGUAACUAUGCACGUCUUGACGGUACCUAAUCAGAAAGCCACGGCUAACUACGUG
rnacentral:rRNA from 1 species